rnacentral:rRNA from 1 species
AGAGUUUGAUCCUGGCUCAGGACGAACGCUGGCGGCGUGCUUAACACAUGCAAGUCGAGCGGAAAGGCCCUUCGGGGUACUCGAGCGGCGAACGGGUGAGUAACACGUGAGUAAUCUGCCCCUAGCUCUGGGAUAGCUCCGGGAAACCGGGAUUAAUACCGGAUACGACCACCUUAGACAUCUUUUGUGGUGGAAAGAAUUUCGGCUAGGGAUGAGCUCGCGGCCUAUCAGCUUGUUGGUGGGGUAACGGCCUACCAAGGCGACGACGGGUAGCCGGCCUGAGAGGGCGACCGGCCACACUGGGACUGAGACACGGCCCAGACUCCUACGGGAGGCAGCAGUGGGGAAUAUUGCGCAAUGGGCGAAAGCCUGACGCAGCGACGCCGCGUGGGGGAUGAAGGCCUUCGGGUUGUAAACCCCUUUCAGCAGGGACGAAGCGAAAGUGACGGUACCUGCAGAAGAAGCGCCGGCUAACUACGUGCCAGCAGCCGCGGUAACACGUAGGGCGCAAGCGUUGUCCGGAAUUAUUGGGCGUAAAGAGCUCGUAGGCGGUCUGUUGCGUCCGCUGUGAAAACUCGGGGCUUAACCCCGAGCCUGCAGUGGAUACGGGCAGACUAGAGGUAGGUAGGGGAGAAUGGAAUUCCCGGUGUAGCGGUGAAAUGCGCAGAUAUCGGGAGGAACACCGGUGGCGAAGGCGGUUCUCUGGGCCUUACCUGACGCUGAGGAGCGAAAGCGUGGGGAGCGAACAGGAUUAGAUACCCUAGUAGUCC